rnacentral:rRNA from 1 species
UACGUAGGGCGCAAGCGUUGUCCGGAAUUACUGGGCGUAAAGCGUGCGCAGGCGGCUUUGCAAGACAGAUGGUGAAAUCCCCGGGCUUAACCUGGGAACUGCAUUUGUGACUGCAUGGCUGGAGUGCGGCAGAGGGGGAUGGAAUUCCGCGUGUAGCAGUGAAAUGCGUAGAUAUGCGGAGGAACACCGAUGGCGAAGGCAAUCCCCUGGACCUGUACUGACGCUCAUGCACGAAAGCGUGGGGAGCAAACAGG